rnacentral:rRNA from 1 species
GGGGAAUAUUGCACAAUGGGCGAAAGCCUGAUGCAGCAAUGCCGCGUGUGUGAAGAAGGCCUGCGGGUUGUAAAGCACUUUCGGUAGGGAAGAUUAUGACGGUACCUACAGAAGAAGCACCGGCUAACUCCGUGCCAGCAGCCGCGGUAAUACGGAGGGUGCAAGCGUUAAUCGGAAUUACUGGGCGUAAAGCGCGCGUAGGCGGCUUUGUAAGUCGGAUGUGAAAGCCCCGGGCUUAACCUGGGAAUUGCAUUCGAUACUGCAUGGCUAGAGUAUGGUAGAGGGUAGCGGAAUUCCGGGUGUAGCGGUGAAAUGCGUAGAUAUCCGGAGGAACACCAGUGGCGAAGGCGGCUACCUGGACCAAUACUGACGCUGAGGUGCGAAAGCGUGGGGAGCAAAC